rnacentral:ncRNA from 2 species
CUUUCAUCCAGAGAGGCUGAGGGAACGGCCCGAUGACGCCUCGGCAACCGGUGGAGACCCGCUGCGGUGCCAAUUCCGACCCACAUGGGAAAGAUGAGAG